rnacentral:rRNA from 1 species
AUUGAACGCUGGCGGCAUGCUUUACACAUGCAAGUCGAACGGUAACAGGGAGCUUGCUCCGCUGACGAGUGGCGAACGGGUGAGUAAUGCAUCGGAACGUACCCAGUCGUGGGGGAUAACGUAGCGAAAGUUACGCUAAUACCGCAUACGUCCUGAGGGAGAAAGCGGGGGGACCGUAAGGCCUCGCGCGAUUGGAGCGGCCGAUGUCGGAUUAGCUAGUUGGUAGGGUAAAGGCCUACCAAGGCGACGAUCCGUAGCGGGUCUGAGAGGAUGAUCCGCCACACUGGGACUGAGACACGGCCCAGACUCCUACGGGAGGCAGCAGUGGGGAAUUUUGGACAAUGGGCGAAAGCCUGAUCCAGCCAUGCCGCGUGAGUGAAGAAGGCCUCGGUGUAAGACUCUUUCUAGCCGGAAAGAAAUACGCGCAGGAGUAAU